UACGUAGGGUGCGAGGCGUUGUCCGGAAUUAUUGGGCGUAAAGAGCUCGUAGGCGGUCUGUCGCGUCGGUCGUGAAAACUUGGGGGCUUAACCCUGAGCUUGCGGUCGAUACGGGCAUGACUGGAGUUCGGCAGGGGAGACUGGAAUUCCUGGUGUAGCGGUGAAAUGCGCAGAUAUCAGGAGGAACACCGGUGGCGAAGGCGGGUCUCUGGGCCGAUACUGACGCUGAGGAGCGAAAGCGUGGGGAGCGAACAGG
rnacentral:rRNA from 1 species